GUCAAUUUAACCUAUCCCACCUAGCAGUCACCACUACAGAUGUUGCCUUUAUGUAUUUUCUCACUUUUCGCCUUUCUAAAUUUUUCUUCCUUCAGUUAUACAAGUUUCAGUCUGUUUUCUUUGUCGAUUUGUACCACUUUUGUAUUCAUCACUUAAAUUCAUCGGUUCUUGAUGUUGUGUCAAUUUUUUUGACAAGAGAAAUUGGAGUUUCGGUUGAAUUUCUCUGCCGCCCAAAGUCUCCGCAGCGUCUAACCACAAAUUAAAGCUAGUAUCUUCUUCUCCAGGUCUAUUUCCGCAAUUAGCUAGAGGAAUAUCUUAUAUUUUUAUUUUAAGGAACUGAAUUAUCAGUUUAUGAAAAUAGAGUUGGCGGUGAUAUCUAAGCCUUUGAAUGCUUCGACAACUUCGUCAAUUGGGUGGUAAAGUGAGUUGCUGUUGAAUUUCAAGAAGAUUAAGAGAAAUAAGAAGAGGUUCUCGGUGAUGAAAGUUAAGUUACGGUGGAGCAAACUGGU
rnacentral:lncRNA from 1 species